rnacentral:rRNA from 1 species
UACAUGGGGUGCAAACGUUGCUCGGAAUUAUUGGGCGUAAAGCGCACGUAGGCGGUCGCUUAAGUCGGAUGUGAAAGCCCUCGGCUCAACUGAGGAAGUGCAUCCGAAACUGAGUGGCUAGAGUAUGGUAGAGGGUCGCGGAAUUCCCGGUGUAGAGGUGAAAUUCGUAGAUAUCGGGAGGAACACCAGUGGCGAAGGCGGCGACCUGGGCCGAUACUGACGCUGAGGAGCGAAAGCGUGGGGAGCGAACAGG